GAUGAACGCUGGCGGCGUGCCUAAUACAUGCAAGUCGAGCGAACGGACGAGAAGCUUGCUUCUCUGAUGUUAGCGGCGGACGGGUGAGUAACACGUGGAUAACCUACCUAUAAGACUGGGAUAACUUCGGGAAACCGGAGCUAAUACCGGAUAAUAUUUUGAACCGCAUGGUUCAAAAGUGAAAGACGGUCUUGCUGUCACUUAUAGAUGGAUCCGCGCUGCAUUAGCUAGUUGGUAAGGUAACGGCUUACCAAGGCAACGAUGCAUAGCCGACCUGAGAGGGUGAUCAGCCACACUGGAACUGAGACACGGUCCAGACUCCUACGGGAGGCAGCAGUAGGGAAUCUUGCGCAAUGGGCGAAAGCCUGACGGAGCAACGCCGCGUGAGUGAUGAAGGUCUUCGGAUCGUAAAACUCUGUUAUUAGGGAAGAGCAUAUGUGUAAGUAACUGUGCACAUCUUGACGGUACCUAAUCAGAAAGCCACGGCUAACUACGUG
rnacentral:rRNA from 1 species